AUGGAGAAGCCAAGUACAUGAACGUCCUCCAAGAAGUAGUAAAUUGAAACAUUUCUGCUGUUGAGAUCGAGCUCGAGGACUCAGUCGAUUACAAGGACUUAGAUGAAGAAUUUCUUAGACGGGUCACUUAAAAUACUCAGUGAUAUAUUGGAAUUUUCACCGAGGCCUUUGAUGAGCUCAUGCCAGAACCCACGGAGCCCUUUCCGGAUGAUGAUCACGACAUGCUUUUAAUCCAGAGGUCUGAAGAUAACAGAGAAAAUGUGGACGGUGUGGAUCCACUUCAGAAGAUGCCUUCUGAAAUCAAACUAUACUUUGAAGUUGACAAUAGAGCAUCUUCGAAAGGACGGCCAUUAACUAUUAGAGAGGUCAAAGCAUCUUAUAUUGGUCAGCUAGUAAGGACAUCUGCAAUCAUUACACGCUGUCCAGAUGUCAAGCCGUUGAUGCAAGUGGCUGUUUAUAAGUGUGAACAUCUGCAUCAUGUGUUCUUGUUGUGAUUUGAACAUGUUCACGCAGCUUCUUAGUUUGAUCAUCCUUCGAAAUCAACAUCUGCAUCUCCAAGGGCGAUGGUGAUUGCGUACCCCAGUGCACGCAACCUCAGUGGGAAGAUCUCCGAGCUUUACACCCAUAUGAUUGGCCCCAUCCUAAUGGAGAAGAAGGCCGCAUAGGACAACACCGAGGAGAUGCACAUGGUCACCGCCCACAUGAGCUUUGUGUGGCUGUGGUCGAUGACAAUGAGGCUCCUACUGAUAGAGUCGAGCGAGAUGAUCAUCCCGCCGAUGCUACUCGCAGCAACGAUUGGGCGGCAACCGUUGUUGCUAAAUAGUGUCGGCAAGAUGAUCUUCUCGCUCGCCUCUCUCAGAAUGUGUCUCACCAUCAUCGCCCAUAGCAACAUGAAACCCAUAUUGGCCGUGGUCAUGUGAAUCACCUCAUUGUCCUAGGUGGCCUUCUUCUCCAUCGGGAUGGGGCCAGUCACAUGGGUGUACUUCUCAAAGAUCUUUCCGCAGAGGUUGCGUGCGCUGGAGUGCGUAAUCGCUGUUGCUGUUAAUCAGGUGAUGAGAGCAGUGUCAUCGAUGAUGUAUGCGUCGUUGUACAAUGCAAUCAUUUUCCAAAGGUCCUUCUUCUUGUUCGCGGUGAUUGUGAGUGUCACUUGGGACUUCUUUUGCAUGAUGAAGCCGGAGACACGGGCGAAUAUCGGAGAAGAUGGGGCAGUUUUCAGUAAAUAAGCUAAGUCCAACAUUUUCAUUCAUUCGGUUUUCUGUAGCUGGUUUAGUUGAAUCGUGUCGUUCCUCUUUUGUUGAUUCGCAGAGAUAUUGCCGUUGAGAAUAGCUUACUCACAUGCUGCCGCCUUUCACUGGAGUUGCACCACCCUCCAGUCUUUCUGGUCUUUAUCACCAACUCAUCAUUUGGUCAUGGAUAAGCUAAGUCCAACAUUUUCGGUCAUUCGUGGUGCUCGGGGACGUGCAGUGUACGAUGGAGGAGUGCAGGCGCAUGAUCGCGGAGGUGGACAAGAACGGGGACGGGUUCGUGUACUUCGAGGACUUCGCUUCACACAGAACUGCAUGAAAUCGAGAGCAGGCGAUUGCCGUCCAGAUUAAAGAGUUGCUUAAUUCCAUGAGAAACGGAGAAUCUCUAGUUUGAUUAGGCUUGAUUUGACUGUUACAUGAAAUAUGCAAGCACGAACGU